GGGGCUGUGGGGUAGCUUGGACUCAUCCUUCGGCGUUCGGGCACGCCGCGACCCCGGUUCAAAGGGCGGCGACAUUAUUAUCAUCGGGAAUGUUCCGCAUGAAACUCCGGGCAGCCCCA
rnacentral:tRNA from 1 species